rnacentral:misc_RNA from 1 species
ACCGGCUUCCUGGAACGGAUACCCAAGUACCGCGGGGCACGAGAAACCCCGCGGGAAUCCGGGAGGACCAUCUUCCAAGGCUAAAUACUACCUGACGACCGAUAGUGCACUAGUACCGUGAGGGAAAGGUGAAAAGAACCCCAGCGAGGGGAGUGAAAUAGAACCUGAAACCGUGUGCCUACAAACAGUGGUAGCCCUAUGCAGGCGGCUUGCCGUCGGCAGGGUGACCGCGUGCCUUUUGCAUAAUGAGUCAGCGAGUUACCUUACGUGGCAAGGUUAAGCCGGAAGGCGGAGCCGUAGCGAAAGCGAGUCCGAAACGGGCGACACAGUCACGUGGGGUAGACCCGAAACCAGGUGAUCUACCCAUGGCCAGGAUGAAGCAGGUGUAAAAACCUGUGGAGGUCCGAACCGGUGUUGGUUGAAAACAGCUCGGAUGAGCUGUGGGUAGGGGUGAAAGGCUAAUCAAACCUGGAAAUAGCUGGUUCUCCCCGAAAUAUAUUUAGGUAUAGCCUCGGGGCAUUCAGUGACUGGGGUAGAGCACUGGAUGGGCUAGGGGACCUACCAGUCUACCAAACCCAACCAAACUCCGAAUACCGUCAACUGCUAUCCCGGGAGUCAGUCUACGGGCGAUAAGGUCCGUGGUCGAGAGGGAAACAACCCAGAUCGCCAGCUAAGGCCCCAAAAUAUGUGCUAAGUGGAAAAGGAUGUGGAAACGCUAAGACAGCCAGGAGGUUGGCUUAGAAGCAGCCACCCUUUAAAGAAAGCGUAACAGCUCACUGGUCGAGUGGGUCCGCGCCGAAAAUUCAUCGGGGCUCAAGCACAUUGCCGAAGCUGCGGGUGGCCUCCGCAAGGGGGUCGCGGUAGGGGAGCGUUCCAUUGUAGGUCGAAGCCGGACCGUAAGGACCGGUGGACGAACUGGAAGUGCUUAUGCUGACACAAGUAGCGAUAAAGCGGGUGAAAAACCCGCUCGCCGUAAGCCUAAGGGUUCCUGGGGAAGGUUAAUCCGCCCAGGGUUAGUCGGGUCCUAAGGUGAGGCCGACAGGCGUAACCGAUGGAAAACAGGUUAAUAUUCCUGUACCACCAUUUCCGCGCUAUUACCGAAGGGGGGACGCAGAAGGGUAGGUGAGCCAGCUGACGGACGUGCUGGUCCAAGCUUGUAGGGGGGCUUCCCAGGAAAAUCCGGGAGGCCGUUAACUCCGAGAGGUGAUGGGGAGGGGCUUCGCCCCGCAAACUCACUGAUCCCACGCUGCCGAGAAAAGCCUCGUAGGGAGUUGGAAUGGUGUCCGUACCGCAAACCGACACAGGUGGGCAAGGAGAAUAUCCUAAGGCGCUCGAGUGAUCCCUCGUUAAGGAACUCGGCCAAUUACCCCCGUAACUUCGGGAAAAGGGUGGCCCUUUGGGGUGAGGAGACUUGCUCUCCGAGCUUCAGGGGGCCGCAGAGAAAUGGCCGCGGCGACUGUUUACUAAAAACACAGGGCUCUGCUAAGUCGUGAAGACGACGUAUAGGGUCUGACGCCUGCCCGGUGCCGGAAGGUUAAGGGGCGAUGUCAGGGGGGCAACCCUCGAAGCUUCAAACCGAAGCCCCGGUAAACGGCGGCCGUAACUAUAACGGUCCUAAGGUAGCGAAAUUCCUUGUCGGGUAAGUUCCGACCUGCACGAAUGGCGUAACGAUCGCGGCACUGUCUCAACGAGGGGCUCGGCGAAUCUGAAAUACCGGUGAAGAUGCCGGUUACCCGCACCUAGACGGAAAGACCCCGUGCACCUUCACUGCAACUUGGCAUUGGAUUUUGGAAUAGCUUGUGUAGCAUAGGUGGGAGGCUUUGAAGCCGGGGCGCUAGCUCCGGUGGAGCCAACAGUGAAAUACCACCCUGGUUGUUCCGGAAUUCUAACCUGGGCCCGUAAUCCGGGCCGGGGACAAUGCCUGGUGGGCAGUUUGACUGGGGCGGUCGCCUCCCAAAGAGUAACGGAGGCGCG